GCCUCCUCCGCGCCAAGCGCUAGCUCUGCGUCCCGUCCCGCCCACUGCUCGCCCGUGUGCAUGUCCUUCUCCUCCGACGGCGGCCUGUGCUUCUCCGGCUGCCUCGAUGGAGCCGAGGAGCUCCGCGGCAUUGUGCUUUUGAUGGUCCACGGCGGCUACAUGAAGGGCCUCGUCCGAGCGUUCGGCGGCGGCGCCGGCUCGUUGUCGGCGCACUGCGGAGGCCUCGGCCCCGGCCACCGGCCCCGUGGAGCUCCUUCUAGGGAGUUGGUUCUUGGAGCUGGACGUUUUUCGUGUUCAUCCUCUUUUUAUGCGAUGUUCAGGGUAUUUUUAGUGUGAUUUUUGAUUCGCGAGAUAUACUGCAUCUUUUCACAAACUUCUUUUUGGAUCUGUUAAUUCUUGAAGGUGCGGACCUAUGGCUCGAGUUUCGCUUCGAUCCGUUGCAAUUUGAAUAGUAUUUUGGACUU